rnacentral:snRNA from 1 species
GGCAGUGUGUGGCUGUGACAUCUGUCACCCCAUUAAUUGCUAGGGGUGGUCCUGAUGUCCUUCUCCUCACAGCUCCAUGAUUGUCCCCUGAAGCCACUUNCAGGGUUGAAGAGGACCUUCUUAGAGGAGGACCAGUGUUUGGUCAAAGAUGUACAAGUAACCUGUGCUCCCCAGCUAGUACCUCCACACAAACUCUCAAGGUCCAUUUGUAGGAGAGUGUGGUAGUCAAGCUUCCACAACUACAGACACCAAAUGAGGAACCACACAUGGCAGCCUGCCUUCCUAA